rnacentral:rRNA from 1 species
AUCUUAGGACCUUGUGCUUUUGGAGCGGCCGAUGCCUGAUUAGCUAGUUGGUGGGGUAAAGGCCUACCAAGGCUUCGAUCAGUAGUUGGUCUGAGAGGACGACCAGCCACACUGGGACUGAGACACGGCCCAGACUCCUACGGGAGGCAGCAGUGGGGAAUUUUGGACAAUGGGGGCAACCCUGAUCCAGCCAUGCCGCGUGAGUGAAGAAGGCCUUCGGGUUGUAAAGCUCUUUCAGUUGGGAAGAAAAGGUUGCGGAUAAUACCUGUAACUCAUGACGGUACCAACAGAAGAAGCACCGGCUAACUACGUGCCAGCAGCCGCGGUAAUACGUAGGGUGCGAGCGUUAAUCGGAAUUACUGGGCGUAAAGGGUGCGCAGGCGGUCUUGUAAGUCAGAUGUGAAAUCCCCGGGCUUAACCUGGGAACUGCGUUUGAAACUACAAGACUAGAGUGUAGCAGAGGGGGGUGGAAUUCCACGUGUAGCAGUGAAAUGCGUAGAGAUGUGGAAGAACACCGAUGGCGAAGGCAGCCCCCUGGGUUAACACUGUCGCUCAGGCACGAAAGCGUGGGGAGCGAACGGGAUUAGAUACCCCGGUAGUCCACGCCGUAAACGAUGCCUACUAGGUUGUGGUGGUUCUGACACCAGCACAGCCGAAGCAAA